rnacentral:rRNA from 1 species
AUCCAACCCCUGUGAACAUACCACUUGUUGCCUCGGCGGAUCAGCCCGCUCCCGGUAAAACGGGACGGCCCGCCAGAGGACCCCUAAACUCUGUUUCUAUAUGUAACUUCUGAGUAAAACCAUAAAUAAAUCAAAACUUUCAACAACGGAUCUCUUGGUUCUGGCAUCGAUGAAGAACGCAGCAAAAUGCGAUAAGUAAUGUGAAUUGCAGAAUUCAGUGAAUCAUCGAAUCUUUGAACGCACAUUGCGCCCGCCAGUAUUCUGGCGGGCAUGCCUGUUCGAGCGUCAUUUCAACCCUCAAGCACAGCUUGGUGUUGGGACUCGCGUUAAUUCGCGUUCCUCAAAUUGAUUGGCGGUCACGUCGAGCUUCCAUAGCGUAGUAGUAAAACCCUCGUUACUGGUAAUCGUCGCGGCCACGCCGUUAAACCCCAACUUCUGAAUGUUGACCUCGGAUCAGGUAGGAAUACCCGCUGAACUUAAGCAUAUCAAUAAGCUGGAGGAA